UUAACCAGUCAGGUCAAACCGGUCGCAACGGUCAAGAGACUGACUGAGAGUGGAGCUUGUGUUUCCCGAGGCAGCUACCGCCGGAGCUAUGGGGAUGCCGGAAGGAAUUCCCGGUGGCCGGCCAUUGCUUGUGGCGGCGAACAUACUGCUGUCUGUUUACCUAGGGUUCGAGUGUUCGACCCUUCAUUUCCUUCAGUUUUCAUUUUUUUUUUUUGUUUUUUUGUUUUUUUGUUUUUUGAUAUAUUAUUGCUUUACGAUUUCUCUAACUUAACAUAAAGUUGCCCAUUGAUAAUUCAAUUAUUGGGAUUCAAAAGUUCUCAUUUUUAAGCUAUUUGGGAUUCUUAACUAAUUGUUUGUGAUUGACAUGCUUGUUUGGAGAGGUUUUAUUCAUUGAUUGCUUUGGUCAUUAUUUCAUAUUGAGUCUCCUAAGAGAAUUUUAAGGUGGGGGAAAGUUUGGAAAAUAUAGAAGGAGAAAAGAGUGAAUUUUGACUUGGCAGCCAUUAAAGACAUAUUCACUGCAUAAAUAAGAGGUUUAAGAGAAGUAGAGUCUGUAGAGAACUACACCAACUAGAAAAAAAAAUAUUUAGAAAUAUCUUAAACCAGUUGUAGCUGCUGUAUGUACAAUAUGAUGAAAGUUGCAAGGAGUUAUAAAUUUAUAUUCUCCCAAACAGGGCUAAUGAAUUUGGGAAGUGGGUGGGGGUCAUUCUGCAGUACUGACAGAUGCAUGUUCUUUGAAGUUUUUUGUUUUGUUUUGUUUGUUUGUUUGCUUUUUUUUGAGUAACGAGGAAACCCGCAGCCACUACCCAAGGGCGUCCGUUGGGUUAAUCCCGUACACUAGCCGGCAAAUGACCAUAAAGAGUUAAAUCAGUCUAAGUUGUCCAUAGCUGAUUGGUUCAAACCAAUAAGGCCAAUAGGCCGCUUCUACUAGAGUCGAACUUGUAACAUUGUGGUUACCAAGCUAACAACCUGGCCACGUGGGGUUGCCCCCAUGUUCUUUGAAGUUGUGUGAGUUUCAGGUUGUUGCAGAAAGCGUGACUUUGUUGAAUGCUUCAAAAGUUGAGGAUGUUGCAUUUUGUACAGGCUCUGAUGCACUAGCAUUCCUUUGUGAAAGAUUGAGGGAGCAUUUGCUUAAAGGGGAUGAUCAUAACUACAACGAUGAUGAGUUUGAUCUUUGAAGUCAUUGACAGUUAAAACGCUUACACUGUAAUCGAUACUUACUUCUCAUAUGAUUGUUCACUGUAAUGUUAUUUGACACGGGGAUGCCAAGUGCACUCGGUACACUGUACUUUAGAGUAUUCCCAGAUUUUGUUAACAAGAUGAUAUUAUUUGGAUACAAGCUCAUGUUUAAAAGGGGGGGCUACUACAUUAUAUUUCGUGUACAAAUGUCUCAUACAAGCUUGGAGUUCCAGGAAGGGAAUGGCG